rnacentral:ncRNA from 1 species
GUACGGCUUUAGGGGUAUUCUAUUGUAGAAUUGAGAGAGUCCCUUUGAACCUGAUUUGGUUGAUACCAACGUAGGGAAAAGUUCGCACCGUGUC